CUUGACCGAGCCGAGCAGCAGCGGCGGAUUGCCGCCCCGGUCCUGGCCGUAGGUGGCCAUCAGCGCGUGCGCUUC
rnacentral:antisense_RNA from 1 species